CAGGGGUUAUUUUAUAAAAAUAUUAGUUUUGGGGAUUAAAGAAGAAGUUAUUGGGACUUUACCUCUGA
rnacentral:tRNA from 1 species